CAACAACUCCAGAUGUUUUUCUUUUGGUAUCGGCUCUGGUGCAUCAACGACUUUAGUGAAAGGCAUUGCACAUGCUGGCAAAGGUGCUGCUGAGUUCAUUGUAUCUGGAGAGAGGAUGCAACCUAAGGUGAUAAGAUCACUGAAAAAAGCCAUGCAACCUGCUGUGACAGAUGUUCAAAUUUCAGUCACUGUUUCUGAGAAUAUAACAGUAAAUGUAGUUCCAAAAGCUUCCACCUAUUUUUAUUGGUGAAUGUCUCAUUGUAUAUGCAAUUCUUCAUGACAAGUCACCAUCCUCUUCACCUCAA